AUGGAAUGGAACUUGAUUAUUCUCUUUUUUGUGGCAGCAUCUACAAGAGUCCACUACCAGGUCCUGCUGCAGCAGUCUGGAGCAGAGCUAAGAAAGCCUAGGUCCUCAGGGAAAGUGUCCUACAAGGCUUCUGGCUACAUCUUGGCUAUCUAUGAUAUGCACUGGGUGAAGCAGGCAUCCGGACAGGUCCUGGAGUGGAUUGAAAAUAUUUGUCCUGGAAUUUGUGGUACUAACUACAACCAGAAGUUCAAGGGCAAGGCCACACUGACCACAGACAAAUCCUCCAACACAGCCUACAUGGAGGUCCGCAGCCUGACAUCUGAGGACUCUUCUGUCUAUUACUUUGUGAGACACAGUGUUGCAACCCACAUCCUGAGUGUGUCAGAAGCCCUGGAGGAGAAACUGAGAUGA